UCCGGUUUGUCACCGGCAGUCUCAUUAGAGUGCCCAACUGAAUGUAGCAACUAAUGACAAGGGUUGCGCUCGUUGCGGGACUUAACCCAACAUCUCACGACACGAGCUGACGACGGCCAUGCAGCACCUGUGUUCUAGUUCUCUUUCGAGCACUCCUACAUCUCUGCGGGAUUCUAGACAUGUCAAGGGUAGGUAAGGUUUUUCGCGUUGCAUCGAAUUAAACCACAUCAUCCACCGCUUGUGCGGGUCCCCGUCAAUUCCUUUGAGUUUUAACCUUGCGACCGUACUCCCCAGGCGGGGUGCUUAACGCGUUAGCUACGCUACUGAGAGGUAACCCCCCAACAGCUAGCACCCAUCGUUUACAGCGUGGACUAC
rnacentral:misc_RNA from 1 species